ensembl:lncRNA
AGAUCAUAGAUACUAUAGAAGACAGCGGGCUAUCGUAUCUAGUCUAUGUAUAUCUAUGGUCGGCAGGUCUGGUAGCAUCUCUGGCUGCUGUUGAUCUUGUUUUUGGAGUAAAACACGGUGGAAGCUGAAUUAGUGAGGAUGACUCCUGCUCCUGUCAUCUCUAAGCUCCUCACACAUCUUUACCUGCACAUGAGGAAAAUCACUCCUGUAGAAUGCAGAUGUUCAGAGGGAGAUGAUGCCACAUCUGGUCCAGCUGAUGGAAGGUCUUGAAGUUCUCUGACUGGCCUCGACUGAAGAUGGUCGUCUCACUGGAUUUAAGGUUCAGAUGCUCAGUAACAAACUCCACCAAUGUGCCAACAGGGAAGCUUUAGGUUUAUUAAAUGUUGCUAUGAAGGUUUCGCUGUUUUUCUUUGUGAAUGCAAUGUGCUCCAACUGAAACUUGAAUUAGAACUUAGAAGUAAAUCCUUCCAUCUGAAAGGAUUUAGUUGCAUUAAUAACCUCAUAACAUUUUAAUUUUUCUUCCAGUCUUGGUUGGAAAUAGAAUCUCUGUAUUGAUUCAGGUAAAAACUGAACUUCACAGCAUGUUGGAGCAAAACAACCAGAUGAAAACUGUGAUGGUGUUGGAUUGUCAGACCGUAAUGUUGCAGCUCAAAGCAGCUUUUCUAUCUCAGUUCAUUCUGACAUUCAGCUAUGAAUCAACACAGCAGAUGGUGAUCCAUGCUGUGGAAGUCUCACAUCUCCUGAUUUAAUGGAACUGCUUUGCACUUUUUACACUGUUUAUUUACCAACACUUUAUUUAAUAAAAGUCCCAUCUAGUUUUUAUGAGGAAUGUGAUGUUUUAAUUUCUCUGUGAAUAACUGCAGUCUAAUGGAACAGCUGGAGUUGUAACAUCUGUCCUGAUAUUGAUCAUGAAGUAUUGAUCAGAAUACUUAUGGUCAGCAGUCAUCCCUGAAGUUUUACAUUAAAACCUUUACUUGUGUUGUGAAUUUGGUAAGAAGCAUUGUAAAGUUUCUGCUCCUUCAAAGUUCACAACACAAUGAAUGAAUUUCUAAAACACUCUCAAUGCUGGAGAGCGUUUGUGAUGCUGAAGCAGUGAGCAGUUUUUCUGUUUCUUCUCUGGAGAUGCACAAUGAGGGACGUCUGCAGAGACUGAGAAAGAGUCUCACCACAUCCUGACAUGAGGAAAAAGACUUUAUUGAAGACUACAAUGAGAAAAACUAUCAGACAGCAGACGGCAUGCAUUCAAGGUGAGCUCUGAACAUUUGAUCUGGAACAGGAAUUCAAUAACGGCAGCAUGAGCUUCAUUUCAGUCUGUAGCUGCUGAAUUCAUGGAUGAAUCAUCUGGCACUAGAGAGGAAGACCAUCAAACAUCCAUGUCAGCUGAUGGAGGUCCAAGAGUCUCACCAAACAACCAACCUACAGAGUGAAGACCUCAAAUCUGAUUGGACGGCCUCCUAUUCAGCCACAUGUGACCACUUUAAUUAUUCUUCAUCUACUUCCUGAAAAGUUUGGUCAAUAAAAAAGACAAAAACUAGUAUUUUCAGCUGAACUAAAGACAGACUUUGUGAUUUUUCUGCUCACGUGUUGUGUUGUUGUAAACUUACUCUUUCAAAUAAAUAGCUGCCUAACCCCC